rnacentral:rRNA from 1 species
GUGAGGAAUUUUGCGCAAUGGGGGCAACCCUGACGCAGCGACGCCGCGUGGAGGACGAAGUCUUUCGGGAUAUAAACUCCUGUCAGUGGGGACGAUAAUGACUGUACCCACAGAGGAAGCACCGGCUAACUCCGUGCCAGCAGCCGCGGUAAGACGGAGGGUGCAAGCGUUGUUCGGAAUUACUGGGCGUAAAGCGUAUGUAGGCGGCAAGUUAAGUUCAAUGUUAAAGCCCACGGCUCAACCGAGGAGAUGCAUUGAAUACUGGCUAGCUAGAGGGUGUUAGAGGAAGACGGAAUUCCCAGUGUAGCGGUGAAAUGCGUAGAUAUUGGGAGGAACAUCGGUAGCGAAAGCGGUCUUCUGGGACAUACCUGACGCUGAGGUACGAAAGCGUGGGGAGCAAACGGGAUUAGAUACCCUUGUAGUCC